rnacentral:rRNA from 1 species
UACGAAGGGGGCUAGCGUUGCUCGGAAUCACUGGGCGUAAAGGGUGCGUAGGCGGGUCUUUAAGUCAGGGGUGAAAUCCUGGAGCUCAACUCCAGAACUGCCUUUGAUACUGAGGAUCUUGAGUUCGGGAGAGGUGAGUGGAACUGCGAGUGUAGAGGUGAAAUUCGUAGAUAUUCGCAAGAACACCAGUGGCGAAGGCGGUGCUCUGGGCCGGAACUGACGCUGAGGAGCGAAAGCGUGGGGAGCAAACAGG